ACGGAAAAAUUUAUGCACGGUCGUUUUAUCGACGAUGUGAAACGACCGUGCAUAAGCAGUUAGCAGUUGCCCGCUGCCGUUGCCGCGUUCGCGAGAGAAACAUACGGACGUUAAUGAAGUUUCGCGGUGAUCCCUUUCCCGCUGCCCCUCGUUACGAAAAACGAGACUGUGAUUCACACACGGAGAUCAGCAUAACAAACCUGUAUGUGUGUGCCCGGCCGUGACCACGUGUGAGCUUCUAAGAAAUAUCGAUCCUCGGCGAAUUUGCCCUCGGCGCGGUGAACAACAAAGAGCACGAUGGUAUCUGUACUUCGAAACAAGCGGCGUUUUUGCCAACAUCAAUGUCACGCGGCAGCCUGCACAGUUGACACUUGCAGUUUGUCAAGCGGUCUGUGACGGAUGGUAAAUUGUUUAAUGGCGUCUAAGAGGCACA